rnacentral:tRNA from 3 species
GCCAGCGUAGCUCAGUAGGUAGAGCACUUGACUUGUAAUCAUGAGGUCACCGGUUCGAUUCCGGUCGCUGGCUCCA